rnacentral:rRNA from 1 species
UACGGCGACCGGCGCACGGGUGAGUAACACGUAUCCAACCUGCCGAUGACUCGGGGAUAGCCUUUCGAAAGAAAGAUUAAUACCCGAUGGCAUAGUUCUUCCGCAUGGUAGAACUAUUAAAGAAUUUCGGUCAUCGAUGGGGAUGCGUUCCAUUAGCUUGUUGGCGGGGUAACGGCCCACCAAGGCAUCGAUGGAUAGGGGUUCUGGGAGGAAGGUCCCCCACAUUGGAACUGAGACACGGUCCAAACUCCUACGGAAGGCAGCAG